rnacentral:rRNA from 1 species
UACGAACUGCGCGAACGUUAUUCGGAAUCACUGGGCUUACAGGGUGCGUAGGUGGCCUGGAAAGUAGGGUGUGAAAUGCCUUGGCUCAACCAAGGCACAGCGCUCUAAACUACCGGGCUUGAGUGAGUCAGGGGUGCGCGGAACUUCCGGUGGAGCGGUGAAAUGUGUUGAUAUCGGAAGGAACACCGGCGGCGAAAGCGGCGCACUGGGGCUUAACUGACACUGAGGCACGAAAGCCAGGGGAGCGAACGGG